rnacentral:rRNA from 1 species
UACAGAGGUGGCAAGCGUUGUUCGGAAUUACUGGGCGUAAAGGGCGCGUAGGCGGCCUUGUCAGUCAGACGUGAAAUCCCCAGGCUUAACCUGGGAACUGCGUCUGAUACUACAAGGCUGGAGUUCGGGAGAGGAAUGUGGAAUUCCCAGUGUAGAGGUGAAAUUCGUAGAUAUUGGGAAGAACACCGGUGGCGAAGGCGGCUAUCUGGCCCGUAAUUGACGCUGAGGCGCGAAAGCGUGGGGAGCAAACAGG